GCCCCCCUCCCGCGCUGAGAGGUCGAGGUCGGGGUCGGGGUCGUCCCUCCGCGUCCCCGGCCCCGCGCGCACCGGGCCCUGCGGGUCGCGCCCGGAGACCUCCCUGCCUGUCCCCUCGCCCGCGGAUCCCGUAGCGCGGGUUUCCAUCGUUUGGGCGUUUUGGUUCUCUGAGAACGUCAGAAACAUUAAUUGGAUGUCCUAGGAAUGGUGGAGACAGACGGAAGAGAACAUUAAAGGAGUCCUCCAAAGGAGGUGCCAUCCCUCUGUGAAAAAUUCUGGCGGAGAGUCACAGAGGUCUUUGAGCUGCAGAGGAACUGAGCAGGAUGGCCCUGUCUGCGGAGGCGUCUGCUUGCGUGGGGCACGAUUUCCACAUCUCCUUCAGCCCGGCCCACCUGGUCAGCACGCGAUGCAGCGACGCUCUUCAGGAACGAACCUCUCUCCUCACCAGCGGGCGUCAGUUUCUGUGCCCACCCCAGGUACCCCGAGGUGUUGCCAGAACAUUUGCUUUUCAUCUUGUAUGCUAUCAGAAAUGUGCUGCCAGUGCAGUGUGGUUUCUGCCAGUGUUAUUAGGGGUUGUGUGGUUCAAUUCCACUUCACCUUCCAGAAAGAUAUCCUCACAGUAAGUCAUCCCUGAGAAGCAGAGCGCUGGGUGUGCCCUUGGCAUCAUCGAGCAUGGUCGUGACGCUGCAGUUUGCUCCUGUUCUUGUUGGGGUUUGUGUUUUACUGCAAAUGCUCUAGAUUGAAAUAAUACGGAUCUGGAGGUUUUGAAAAAUCAAGAGAAAAUCAAGAGCUUUUACUUAGUUAUAUUUCUGAUUUUCAAGUUUGUGGAUCAGUGCAUAAAUGUUAACUUCACGUCUGUGUACGUCUUGGUCAUUAACCUUUUAGGUUUUGUACAACAAUGACUGUGUUUGCUAAUAGGAAAUGCUGGAAAUGGAACUUCUGGUCUUUGCUGUUUCACACACAUGCUGGUUUGCCCCACCAGCAUUGGUGAGAGAUUUGCUUUGGCCUCCAACUUGUGGCCAGUCUGCAAGAUCCUUUCUAGCUCUUAACCUUUAAACUUGGCAAUUCUCAGCAUCGUAUACUUCUAUAAACACUUUAUAAGCAUUGCCACUUAACUUUGCUUUUUAAUGCCAA